UACAGAGGUCUCGAGCGUUAGGCGGAAUCACUGGGCUUAAAGCGUGUGUAGGCGGAGUGCUAAGUACCUUGUGAAAUCCCACGGCUUAACCGUGGAACUGCUUGGUAUACUGGUUCUCUUGAGCCACCUAGGGGCGAGCGGAACAAAUGGUGGAGCGGUGAAAUGCGUAGAUAUCAUUUGGAACGCCAACGGUGAAAACAGCUCGCUGGGGGUGUGCUGACGCUGAGACACGAAAGCCAGGGGAGCGAACGGG
rnacentral:rRNA from 1 species